rnacentral:lncRNA from 1 species
CCUCAUAUUCAUGCUAUAUAGUACAAAUCAUAUUUUCAUUGUAAUGGUUAUACUAUGAUCCGUACUGAUCAACACCAAAGAAGUGAAAUGCACUCAGUCCAGUUUUAGCAUUUGUUUAAAAUAGUCUUUUUCCAGUUCUACAAUAUGUCAUCUACUAAAAACUAUUAAUACAAAUAUAUUUAGAAUUUAGGAGGUGAUUUAAGGUCAUAAUAAGUCCCUAAAGCAA